CCAACUUAGUUAACAUCUGUUUGUUUAUACGUCACAGAUAAAUUGACCGUUUAUUAUAUAUCCAUUUCACUCUGUAAUAAAAAUAUUCAAUCCAUUUAUGGCUCAAUCCGACUUUAAAUUUUUAAUUGACCAAUUUCAAAAUAAACCAUUAAAAUUAAAUCCUCUAUUGCAAACACCUCCCUCUACUUCUCGAUCCUUCAUCACUCUCUUAUCUCUUAACCAAAACCCUCUCUCAAAAUUCUAGGUGUCUCAAUUGCUCAUUCUGAUUUUCAUUCCAAUCAUUAGCCAAAUAUGCCCAAAAUAUCCUCGUAAACAAAAUUUUUCUUAAGAUUCUUUUUAAAAUUUCUAGUUAAUAGUCUAUUUAGGAUGAUAUAGAAAUCAAAAUAAAAAUAUAUCGAAAAUAAUAAAUGAUGAUAUAUAUAAUUAAGAAAGUAUAUUUAAGUAUAGAAUGAUUAUUUUGUAGAAACAAAGAUUAAGUUUAA
rnacentral:lncRNA from 1 species